GUUUUUAGUAGUGAUGCUGGAUGAUGUGUUGAUAGGAAUCCGCUUGACACUGUUUCUUGAUUAUAAAAGGUUUAUUACAU